UGAACGCUGGCGGCAGGCAAAACACAUGCAAGUCGAGCGGUAACAGAUCUAGCUUGCUAGAUGCUGACGAGCGGCGGACGGGUGAGUAACGCGUAGGAAUCUACCUGGUAGUGGGGGAUAGCCCAGAGAAAUUUGGAUUAAUACCGCAUACGGUCUACGGACUAAAGAGGGCCUCUCCUUGGAAGCUCUUGCUAUCAGAUGAGCCUGCGUCGGAUUAGCUAGUUGGUGAGGUAAAAGCUCACCAAGGCGACGAUCUCUAGCUGGUUUGAGAGGAUGAUCAGCCACACUGGGACUGAGACACGGCCCAGACUCCUACGGGAGGCAGCAGUGGGGAAUAUUGCACAAUGGGGGAAACCCUGAUGCAGCCAUGCCGCGUGUGUGAAGAAGGCCUUCGGGCUGUAAAGCACUUUCAGUUGCGAGGAAAGGUUAUUGCCUAAUAUGUAAUAACUGUGACGUUAACAACAGAAGAAGCACCGGCUAACUCCGUGCCAGCAGCCGCGGUAAUACGGAGGGUGCGAGCGUUAAUCGGAAUUACUGGGCGUAAAGCGUGCGUAGGCGGAUAGUUAAGCAAGAUGUGAAAGCCCAGGGCUCAACCUUGGAACUGCAUUUUGAACUGGCUGUCUAGAGUAUUGUAGAGGGUGGUGGAAUUUCCAGUGUAGCGGUGAAAUGCGUAGAGAUUGGAAGGAACAUCAGUGGCGAAGGCGGCCACCCUG
rnacentral:rRNA from 1 species